UACGUAGGGGGCAAGCGUUGUCCGGAUUAUUGGGCGUAAAGAGCGUGUAGGCGGCCAGGUAGGUCAGCUGUGAAAACUCGAGGCUCAACCCUCGAGACGCCGGUUGAAACCAUCUGGCUAGAGUCCGGAAGAGGAGAGUGGAAUUCCUGGUGUAGCGGUGAAAUGCGCAGAUAUCAGGAAGAACACCCGUGGCUAAGGCGGCUCUCUAGUACGGUACUGACGCUGAGACGCGAAAGCGUGGGGAGCGAACAGG
rnacentral:rRNA from 1 species